rnacentral:rRNA from 1 species
UACGUAGGUGACAAGCGUUGUCCGGAUUUACUGGGCGUAAAGAGCGCGCAGGCGGUCGUUCAAGUCGAGUGUGAAAGCCCCCGGCUCAACUGGGGAGGGUCAUUCGAUACUGAUCGACUCGAAGGCAGGAGAGGGAAGUGGAAUUCCCGGUGUAGUGGUGAAAUGCGUAGAUAUCGGGAGGGACACCAGUGGCGAAGGCGACUACCUGGCCUGUUCUUGACGCUGAGGCGCGAAAGCUAGGGGAGCAAACGGG